rnacentral:lncRNA from 1 species
GCUGUGCUCUGUCCCCUCCUGGUGGCUGUGCCCAUGCCAUGCCAUGCCAUGCCGUGCCCAUGCCAUGCCUUGCCAUGCCAUGCCAUGCCAUGCCAUGCCAUGCCAUGCCAUGCCUUGCCAUGCUGUGCCUUGCCAUGCCCUGCCGUGCUGUUCCGUACCAUGCCACGCCAUGCUCUCUCCCCUCCCGGUGGCUGUGGCCAUGCCAUGCCAUGCCGUGCCAUGCUGUGCUGUUCCAUUCUGUGCCAUGCCGUGCCGUGCUCUGUCCCCUCCCGGUGGCUGUGGCCAUGCCAUUCCAUGCCAUGCCAUGCAAUGCUGUGCCAUGCCAUGCCAUGCCAUGCCAUGCCAUGCCCAUGCCAUGUCCUCCCAGGGGCAGGGAUCGCUGCCGGCACUUUGUCCUGGACCAGCAGCCUGACGGGCGCUACACGAUCCUGGGCGAGCGCAGCGCCCACGCCGAGCUGGCCCAGCUGCUGCAGCACCACAGCACGGCCCCGGUGAGCCCGUACCGAGAGUUCCUGAGCGUGGCCCUGCCCUGCACGCGGGUGAGUGCUGGAACUGAGAGCCCUGAGAGACCCUGGGAGAUCCUGAGAGAUCCUGAGAGACCCUGAAAGCUCCUGAGAGCUCCUGAGAUCCACUGAGAGAUCCUGAAAGCCCUGAGAGCUCUGAGAGCCCCUGAGAGCUCCUGAGAGAUUCUGAGAGAUCCUGAGAGCCACUGAGAGAUCCUCAGAGAUCCUGGGAGACCCUGAGACAUCCUGAGAGAUUCUGAGAGAUCCUGAGUGCCCCUGAGAGCCCCUGAGAGCCUCUGAGAGAUCCUGAGAGACCCUGAAAGCUCCUGAGAGCUCCUGAUAUAUCCUGAGAGCUCCUGAGAUCCACGGAGAGCCCCUGAGAGAUCCUGAGAGUCCCUGAGAGACCCGGAGAGGUCCUGAGAGAUCCUGAGAGCCCCUGCACAUUGAAAUAUUACCAAUCUAGCUGGACAGGACAUGCUUGAGCUUGUCUGGCCCUUGGUGCUGAACCAAAAAGUGGCAACUGUGGUGUUUCACC